AUUGAACGCUGGCGGCAGGCCUAACACAUGCAAGUCGAACGAGUGGCGGACGGGUGAGUAAUGUCUGGGAAACUGCCUGAUGGAGGGGGAUAACUACUGGAAACGGUAGCUAAUACCGCAUACCAUCGGAUGUGCCCAGAUGGGAUUAGCUAGUAGGUGGGGUAACGGCUCACCUAGGCGACGAUCCAUAGCUGGUAUGAGAGGAUGACCAGCCACAAUGGAACUGAGACACGGUCCAGACUCCUACGUGAGGCAGCAGUGGGGAAUAGUGCACAAUGGGCUCAAGCCUGAUGCAGCCAUGCCGCGUGUAUGAAGAAGGCCUUCGGGUUGUAAAGGACUUUCAGCGGGGAGGCGUUACCCGCAGAAGAAGCACCGGCUAACUCCGUGCCAGCAGCCGCGGUAAUAC
rnacentral:rRNA from 1 species